UGGGGAAUAUUGCACAAUGGGCGCAAGCCUGAUGCAGCCAUGCCGCGUGUGUGAAGAAGGCCUUCGGGUUGUAAAGCACUUUCAGCGAGGAGGAAGGGUAGUGUGUUAAUAGCACAUUGCAUUGACGUUACUCGCAGAAGAAGCACCGGCUAACUCCGUGCCAGCAGCCGCGGUAAUACGGAGGGUGCAAGCGUUAAUCGGAAUUACUGGGCGUAAAGCGCACGCAGGCGGUUUGUUAAGUCAGAUGUGAAAUCCCCGCGCUUAACGUGGGAACUGCAUUUGAAACUGGCAAGCUAGAGUCUUGUAGAGGGGGGUAGAAUUCCAGGUGUAGCGGUGAAAUGCGUAGAGAUCUGGAGGAAUACCGGUGGCGAAGNCGGCCCCCUGGACAAAGACUGACGCUCAGGUGCGAAGCGUGG
rnacentral:rRNA from 1 species